AACUGAACGCAACGUUAACGUUCUUUCUUUAGUUUGUGUAUCUGCAGUAUGAAGGUGACUGGAAGAGCUGUUCGUGGUUUACGGUCUGUUUUGCAGACGCUAGUUCAGCUUGCUCAAAAAUCGACAAAAGGUACAGGCAAGAUGGAGACUCCCAUAGUACCCGGUUAAGAAGGUAUGCAACUGUUGCUGUGUAUGGAGCACUUUUUGGAUAUUUGACUGGCAGCAGGAGGCUACACAGUUCCACGAAAAAACUCUGGCCUGACAAGUUUGCUAUGAAUUAUAAACUUGAGGUAUUCAGAUGGAGAAUGUCAAAGAAGCAGGAACAAAGCUGCCACCAGAGCCUUUAAUACAUCUGCUGACUUCACUUCACAGAAGUAAACUCAAGCCUUGGAAGGAAGCUACCCAACUGAACAAAAAGGAGCUCUGACUUUCAAUGUUCUUGCUUUCUGGGUUGGAGGAAGCAAGUGGCGGGUUAUUGAAAAAUAAAAACUUUACCAUGA